rnacentral:rRNA from 1 species
UACAGAGGGUGCGAGCGUUAAUCGGAAUUACUGGGCGUAAAGCGCACGUAGGCGGCUUUGUAAGUUAGAGGUGAAAGCCCGGAGCUCAACUCCGGAACUGCCUUUAAGACUGCAUCGCUUGAACGUUGGAGAGGUAAGUGGAAUUCCGAGUGUAGAGGUGAAAUUCGUAGAUAUUCGGAAGAACACCAGUGGCGAAGGCGACUUACUGGACAACUGUUGACGCUGAGGUGCGAAAGCGUGGGGAGCAAACAGG